rnacentral:lncRNA from 1 species
AUGCCCGGGUCCUUCGGGGAGGGGCAGGGGCACCCCUAUUUUUAUGGGGUCAGGACGCCUGGGUCUUUUUCGGGGGGGGUGGACUCUCAGCCCCUAUUUUCAAGAGCCACGAUGCCCGAAUCCCAUUUGGGGAGAACAACCAGCCCCUGUCUUCAUGGGGUCAGGACGCCCAGGUCUCCUUCUGGGAGGGGAACGCUUGGUCCCCGUUUUCACACGGCCAACUCCAGCGUGCCUUCCUGGGGGGAGGGCCGGCCCGCGCAGCCCUGGUUUCCAGCCCAUCUCAAGUGCCCAUCCUCUUCCGAGAGCGCGGGGCGGGGCGCACGGGGGGUGGCGGGGGGGGGACGGUGGCCAGCUCCGGACCUCACCCCAGCCGGCCGCAGGCUUGCAGGCCGUGCGCCCGGCAGCUCCCCGGGGCCCGGCUCCCCGCCCCCCGCGCCGAGGGCUCCCCCAGAUCCGGGCGGGCGGGCGCGGCGGCGGCCAAUGAGCGCGCUCGCCGUCUCCGGGAGCCGGGCCGGCUCUGCCCGCCUGGCAUUGGGCACGCGGUGGGCAGUGGCGGGCGGGGCCUGGGGGUCCUCGCGCCUGGUUGGGCCAGGCUUGUUGCUGGGUAACGGGGCGGCGAGUUUCCCCUGGCAACGGCGGCGGGUACCGCUCACUGGCUGGCCGGGAAGGAGGGGGGGCGCGGGCGCAGGCAGGCCCCGCAGACCCCAGCAACAGCGCGCGGCCCCCGCCCCGCCGGGGAGCGGUAACCUUCACACGCGCCGGCCGCUCGGACCCCGCGGACGCCCGCGCCCCCGCCCAGCCCCCACCCAGCUCCGGUCCAGCCCCCCCCCCCCCCCCCCGGGGCCUGCGGGCCGGCCGCACCGAGGGGACCCGGGAGGCCCCCCUCCCCUUCCCGGACUCGGGGCCUGCGGUGAAAAGUUAAUAACUCCCUCUCCUCGUGCUGAGAACCCGACUUCCCCAGAACGGCACACACACGUUGGCGAAGGCUGUGCAUCUGCGGGAAACGAGCUGGGACGUUUCUGUUCUCUAAGCAGCGCUUCCCAGGCAGGCCCCCCCUCCUGCCUGCCGGGCCCUGUUCGAAGUGCGUUACCAAUAGGAACUCGUUUCAUCUUCACAAGAGUUUGGGUCCUAGGGUGA